rnacentral:rRNA from 1 species
AAUCAACGCUGGCGGCGUGCCUAACACAUGCAAGUCGAACGAGAAAGCCUGUAGCAAUACAGGUGAGUACAGUGGCGACCGGGUGAGUAACACGUGGAUAACCUGCCACCGAGUGGGGAAUAACCCUGGGAAACCGGGGCUAAUACCGCAUAACACCCAGCGGCUUCGGCUGCGGGGUUGAAACCUGGCAACGGGGCUUGGUGAGGGGUCCGCGGCCGAUUAGCUAGUUGGUGAGGUAACGGCCCACCAAGGCAAUGAUCGGUAGCCGGCCUGAGAGGGCGGACGGCCACACUGGAACUGCAACACGGUCCAGACUCCUACGGGAGGCAGCAGUGGGGAAUUUGCGCAAUGGGGGAAACCCUGACGCAGCAACGCCGCGUGGACGAUGAAGCCC